rnacentral:rRNA from 1 species
GAUGAACGCUGGCGGCGUGCCUAAUACAUGCAAGUAGAACGCUGAAGGAGGAGCUUGCUCUUCUGGAUGAGUUGCGAAAGGGUGAGUAACGCGUAGGUAACCUGCCUGGUAGCGGGGGAUAACUAUUGGAAACGAUAGCUAAUACCGCAUGACAACAGUUAUUGCAUGAUAACUGUUUAAAAGGGGCAACUGCUCCACUACCAGAUGGACCUGCGUUGUAUUAGCUAGUUGGUGAGGUAACGGCUCACCAAGGCGACGAUACAUAGCCGACCUGAGAGGGUGAUCGGCCACACUGGGACUGAGACACGGCCCAGACUCCUACGGGAGGCAGCAGUAGGGAAUCUUCGGCAAUGGACGGAAGUCUGACCGAGCAACGCCGCGUGAGUGAAGAAGGUUGUCGGAUCGUAAAGCUCUGUUGUAAGAGAAGAACGAGUGUGAGAGUGGAAAGUUCACACUGUGACGGUAUCUUACCAGAAAGGGACGGCUAACUACGUG